GAAAAAGAUGAAACCAUUAAAAAAAUCUCAAACCCAUACAAGAAUAACAAUGAAAGGAGAAAGCCUAUAGACACCAUCCUAUCUACUACCACCAUCAUUGUUGGAUUUAAAGGUUGGAUCUUGAGAGAAACUCUUGAACUUCAUUUUGAGCUGGCCAGUAGUGAACUAAAUAUUGUCUAAGCAAUCGAUGACAGAGGGAGUGAGAAGAAACGUCUCCAAAUCACCAGUCUUCCAUCCUGUUAUAACACCUUCAUCGCCUUGUGGAAUGACAUACAUGAACUCUAUAUAAAGAUAUAUGAACAAGAACUCCUCUAGUGGAUACCCCAUGCAUAGAUCUGCAUGAAAUAAAAGUAGAAUCAUAUAUCUACCUUGGAAAAAAAGGGAUAAACCUUAGAUAGAGCUCUAAAGGGGUAGAGGAAAAAUAUUAAAAAUAAGGAAAAUAAGAAAAAAAAGGAAAAGAAAAUGUAAAUAAAAGCAGAGAGAUGGCUAAUGCCGGUGAAGAAUCAUCGGCAGCGGCCUAUUCAG
rnacentral:lncRNA from 1 species